UACAGAGGUCUCGAGCGUUGUUCGGAUUCAUUGGGCGUAAAGGGUGCGUAGGCGGCGGGGUAAGUCUGAUGUGAAAUUCCAGGGCUCAACCUUGGGACUGCAUUGGAUACUGCCUUGCUCGGGAACUGGAGAGGAGACUGGAAUUUACGGUGUAGCAGUGAAAUGCGUAGAGAUCGUAAGGAACACCAGUGGCGAAGGCGAGUCCCUGGACACUUCCUGACACUGAGGCACGAAAGCUAGGGGAGCAAACAGG
rnacentral:rRNA from 1 species